rnacentral:rRNA from 1 species
UCGGUGGAGGAUGUGCUCGCGGCCUAUCAGCUUGUUGGUGGGGUAAUGGCCCACCAAGGCUUCGACGGGUAGCCGGCCUGAGAGGGUGACCGGCCACACUGGGACUGAGACACGGCCCAG